rnacentral:lncRNA from 1 species
GUCUAUUUAUGCCCUAAAAAAUGAAAUGAAUCACUUAUUGGCAGCACAGAGAAGUCUUUCUAAACAUUAUCAGUCAAGCAUAGUGGGUCAUUACUGAAGCUACAACACAUGAGAGGUUAAUGCUGUAGGAUCAUUAGUUUGAUGUCAGUUUGGGCUACACAGUGAGUUCAAGGCCAAGCCUGGACUACACAGCAAGACCCUGUCUCAACGUCAAAUAAUUAUUAUUCAUUAAGACAAUUUCAAUCUCCUGGUCACUUCAUAAUGUAACUUUUAAAAGAACCAUAAAAACUGUGAUCAAGAUUGAUUUUAUAAAUGGGAGGCAAAGAUGGUUUAUGCUAUACUGAAUGAACAAAAUGAAAGAAAAGUCCAUAUUAUAGGAGAUGUACAGGAUCAUGUAACAUCAUACAAUAUCAACUGAUGGUUAAGUCAAUAAACUUGAUAGAAAUAUAUUUCAUCAUGACAGCACAUGAAAAACAAAUUCAGUUUUCAUUCAGUUACAAAGCUCAAACUUCUCAAGGGCAGGUUUACGUACCUACCUUUCCUUCUUAUAUUCAGGAAAUACUGGGAAAAGCCUAGCUGGAGCAAUCAGGGUAAGAAAAAAGUCACCCAAAUAAGAAAAGUAAAAUUGUUUCAGGUUAACAGGGCAUCCAUGAAAAAAAAAUUAUAAAAACUCAUAAAACAUAAGACUUUCAAGUCAACAGUAUCUUUACAUACUACAAAUUUAAAAAGCAAAAUAUUAUACAACAUAUAAAACUACAUAAAAUGAUAGAGAACAAAGUUAAACAGGAAAAAUCUAAACUACCAUGAACAAGACCAUAAACAAUUUGCAAGGUAUGCCACACACAUUGAGAGAAUUACCAUUGUUACAAUGUCCAUCCUGCCCAAAGUGCUUUGUAGAUUACCACUGCAUUAACAAUUCUAAAGGCAUUUUCCCCCACAGGCUUAAAAAAAAAAAAAAAAGUCAUAAGAAAUCAAAACCUUUCAGUUAAGCCCAAAAGGACUUAAAUAAAAACAAAAAUUCUAGGCUUAACAAUGUAUUACAGGGCUAGAGAUGUCCACUUAGUAUGAAGUUUGAUAAGCACUGAGCGUGCAAAGUAUGGUGGUACAUGCCUAGAAUCAUACUAGGAGAUAAAGGCAAGAUCAAAAGUCCAAGGUCAUUAGGUCAUUCUUGAUCAUUUAGUUAAUCUCAAAGGCAGUCUAAGCUCCAAUAAACCUUGUCUUAAGAAAGAACAGCAAAAACAAGACCAGUAUAUAGGCAGAAAUCAAACAGUAUAAUACUGAUACAAACAAUAUAAAUAAAUUGUUUACAAAUAAGCAUAUAGUCAAUGGCAGGCAUAGGGGCACAUAACUUUAAUUCCAGCACUCUGGGAGGCAGACAGGUAGAUCUCUGUGAGUUCCGGGCUCUACAUAGCAGGUUCUAGGCCAGCCAGAUUAUAAAGAUAUUAUCCAAAAAACAAACAAAUAAAACAAUAAAAGCCCUUUAUGUGGUCCACAUAAUUUCAACAAUGAAGUUAGAACUAUAGCUUGAUGGUAGAGCACCUGCCUAGCAUCCUUGAGGCCACAAAUUCAAUUCCUAGCACCAAAACAGAAACUGUAACAGUAUACUAAAACAAAAACAGUAUACACAUAGAUAAGCUUAGGGGGGUUAAAAAAGAAAAGGAAAUCAAAUAAUAGUAAAAGAAAUACAGUUAAGUUGGAUAGGCUGGCUCAAACCCAAAAUCUCAGCACUCAAAAGGUCUGGGGAAGAAAUACUGCUCCAAGUUUAAUGCCAGCCUGCUCUAUGCUAUCAUGGAUUACAUAGUUAGGUUACCACAAACAAACAAAACCCUGAAAGUAAAAUCUAAAACUGUAACAUAAUGAAACUCCAAGAAUGCUUCCAGACACACCAGCAAAGAAUUUUAGAGCUGACAUGAAAAUUAUGGGCAUUAAAAGCAAAAAUAAAGAAUUAAGGCCAUAUCAAACUAAAGAUUCUGUAUAGCAAUAAAAAAAAAAACUGAAAAAGCAUGUACACAGCCAAAUUCAUACACACUAGUACACAUACACACAA